CACGUAGGGUCCAAGCGUUGUCCGGAUUUAUUGGGCGUAAAGAGCUCGUAGGCGGCUUGGUAAGUCGAGUGUGAAAACUCUGGGCUCAACUCAGAGACGCCACUCGAUACUGCCAUGGCUUGAGUCCGGUAGGGGAGUGUGGAAUUCCUGGUGUAGCGGUGAAAUGCGCAGAUAUCAGGAAGAACACCCGUGGCGAAGGCGGCUCUCUGGGACGGUACUGACGCUGAGACGCGAAAGCGUGGGGAGCAAACAGG
rnacentral:rRNA from 1 species